UACGAAGGGGGCUAGCGUUGCUCGGAAUCACUGGGCGUAAAGGGCGCGUAAGCGGAUCUUUAAGUCGGGGGUGAAAGCCCAGGGCUCAACCCUGGAAUUGCCUUCGAUACUGAAGAUCUCGAGACCGGAAGAGGUAAGUGGAACUGCGAGUGUAGAGGUGAAAUUCGUAGAUAUUCGCAAGAACACCAGUGGCGAAGGCGGCUUACUGGUCCGGUUCUGACGCUGAGGCGCGAAAGCGUGGGGAGCGAACAGG
rnacentral:rRNA from 1 species